ensembl:lncRNA LINC02003 long intergenic non-protein coding RNA 2003
AUUGAACUGAAGUUGUAUUACUGUGAGAGAAAGGGGGCGGGGGAUGGCGAUGGGAGAGAGAAAGAGAUCUACGGACCCUCUGGAUGGCCGGAGCAGACACUACAGUCUUCACCAGAGGCAGCCCCAUAAAAAUGUCAUCGUCUCGGGCUCUCCCCGCAUUACAACACAAUGAUUUCUUUGGGGAGGAGAAAAAAAAACUAAGAUUUAUUUUGCAACCACACCUCCGCCUCCCUUGGAAGAGAAAUACUGACCAACAACAAGUUGUGAAUGAAAUGUCUGCAGAUCGGCCCCCCUCGCCCAGCCUGAGAACUUUCCAGACGGAAAGGCGCACACGUGCACACAGCACCAGCUGAGCCGAUUUGUGCUGCUCUCAGCAGCCACCGGGGAUGGAGGAACCGCUCAAGGAUCUCCAGAGUGCGAGCCUGGUUCGGGACAAAGUUGCCCAACCUAGUGGUGUGAGCCACGUAAGGAGCUGGGGAGAGGGGAGUCUGUCCCCAAGACAAUGACAGCAUCUAGGGCUCAGUGCCAGGCUCCCGGGAGAAGCAAACAAGCCAUGGCUUUAGGGAGGGGUGCAGGCUCAUUAGAGAGCCCACUGAAGUGUUACCACCAUGCAGAGAGGAGGGGUGAGAGGGCACGGCUCUCCUCUGCCAGUUUUUUUCUCUUGGGACGGGGAAGCAGUGCUGCUUGGAAAAUAGCAAACUCAAACCUUCCCCCCAAAUGCCAGAAAUGUUCCCGGGAGUCCAGGCCACAAGGACAGUGUGUGCAAUGGCUUGGACCAGGCCAGAGCUGUUCUCCCUCCCCUUAAACUAUGCAUAAAAAGGAGGUUCCCCCACAUGCUCCUCCUGGGAUCUUUCUGGGGUUAUCCCACAUGAACCCGCUUAGAUUGCCUUUGAGGAAACAGAGAAGUGAAGAUCCCCCAUCCACUCCCCAUUUUGGAAAAGUGGACAUCAAGGCCCAGAGAAGGGACAGGACCAGCCCAAUGACCAACAGAGUCACCAGUGACUCUGGGGCUAUGCCUAGGACUCUGUCUCCAGUCUACUGUUCAUUCCCAAGGACAAGCCCACAACACAGUAGCAGCACCUGCAGAUGGAAAGCCUUCGAUCUCAAUGUCACCUGUUUGCCGCUUUCUGCAUAAGUAAUGUCAUUGUUGGAAUGAGUUUAUGAUGGUCUCCAUCCCCAUUUCUAUGAGCUGUGAGCAAGACAUCUGCUGCAUAGCUCACGUGUGUUCAGGCCUCCCUGGACCAGCAGCUCUGACUCACACACGCACAGAACGGUAGAGUUUGAUCCUGUAUCAUAACCUGAGGAUUGAUUGAACUUAGACAAUGUAUUUUCCACUUGUGCUUAGCCCAGUGACCAGAAGAAGCCUCGAUAUUUUGAAAGCACAGCUGUAUUUCUAGAAAAGGCCUUCAAAGAGAUAACGCAGAUGGGAGCAUGCGCCUGGAAGGCCACCCUGCUGCACAGCACACUGACUGAGCAAGAACAAAGACCGUAAAUGAAGAAGGAUGUUUGCAUUCUGCUCCUCGCUUGCCUGAAAACAGGAAACUUUGGAGACCUGUUCUGGCAAGGUUUCCACCUCUUCCUCACCCCAAAGGUCUUGCCUUCCUCAAGCACCUGCGAGGAGAAGUCGUCACUAGUGGGGAAUUCCAGCAGGUGACCCAAUCGAGACAGCUGGGCAGGCUCCUGGAGCUGAUGGCUUGGGAAGGAGGGAGUCAGAAGUGGCAGGCCCAUGGAGGGCCUUCAACUCAUUGGAUGAAGCCCACCCUUAUUCCCAAGGAUAAUCUCCUUUACUCAAGGUCAACUGAUUGUUGAUGUUAAUGACAUCCACAAAAUGUCUUCACAGCAACGGGAUUGCUUCACAGUAAUGGGAUUGCUGGGUCAAAUGGUAAUUAUCCUUAUGAUUUUCUUAAUACCAUUGUCUUUUCUCUACCUUA